AUUGAACGCUGGCGGCAGGCUUAACACAUGCAAGUCGAGCGGGGAAGGGUAGGUUGCUACCUGUCCUAGCGGCGGGCGGGUGAGGAAUUCUUAGGAUUCUGCCUAUUAGUGGGGGAUAGCAUUCCGAAAGGAAUGAGCAUACCGCAUACGCCCUACGGGGGAAAGACGGGGAUCUUCGGACCUUGUGCCCAUACAUAAGCAUAAGUCAGAUUAGCUAGUUGGUGGGGUAAAGGCCUCCCAAGGCGACGCUCUGUAGCGGGUCGGAGAGGAUGAUCCGCCACACUGGGACUGAGACACGGCCCAGACUCCAACGGGAGGCAGCAGUGGGGAAUAUUGGACAAUGGGCGAAAGCCUGAUCCAGCCAUGCCGCGUGUGGGAAGAAGGCCUUUUGGUUGUAAAGCACUUUAAGCGAGGAGGAGGCUACCGAGAUUAAUACUCUUGGAUAGUGGACGUUACUCGCAGAAUAAGCACCGGCUAACUCUGUGCCAGCCGCCGCCGUAACAC
rnacentral:rRNA from 1 species